GGGAAUGAUUCAUCAUCCACACCAGCUCUCCAGGUAGGGAGGCUGGGUGGAAAAUGUUUAUUUAUUAAAAUAAUUAGUGAGUGUGUCUGUGAGUGUAUGUGUGUCUGUGAGUGAUUGUAUGAGUGUGUAUGUGUGUCUGAGUGCUUGUAUGAGUACUGCAUGUGAGUGUAUGAGUGUGGCAGUGUAUGUGUGUCUGUCAGUGUGUGUUUGUGAGUGUCUGUCAAAUCAGUGAGAGUAUCUUUGUCAUUGAGUCUGUGUGUGAGUAUCAGUGUGUCUGUCAAUGAAUGAGUGUCUGUCUGUGUGUGAGUGUCUGUGUGUGACUGUGUGUGUAUGUGUG